rnacentral:rRNA from 1 species
GACGAACGCUGGCGGCGUGCUUAACACAUGCAAGUCGAACGGAAAGGUCAGGCCUUUGUGGGUUGCUCGUUAGGGGCAGAGGGGAGUAACACGUGUGUAACAUGCACUUGACUUUGUGAGAACAUCAGGGAAAUGGGGCGAUUAUCGGAUAGGAUCUACUGCUGCAUGGUGUGCGUUGGAAAGUUUCGGCGGUUGGGGAUGGACUAGAGGCUUAUCCGCUUGAUGGGGUGGUAGGGGCUUACCCAGGCUUUGACGGGUAGCCGGCCUGAGAGGGUGACCGGCCACAUGGGUACUGAGAGACGGCCCAGACUCCUACGGGAGGCAGCAGGGGGGAAUAUUGCACAAUGGGCGGAAGCCUGAUGCAGCAACGCCGCGUGCGUGAUGACGUCCUUCGGGUUGUAAACCGCUGUCGCCUUUGACGAAGCGUGAGUGACGGUAAUGGGUAAAGAAGCACCGGCUAACUACGUG